rnacentral:rRNA from 1 species
AAGACCUUGCGCUUUUGGAGCGGCCGAUGCCUGAUUAGCUUGUUGGUAAGGUAAAAGCUUACCAAGGCUUCGAUCAGUAGCUGGUCUGAGAGGACGACCAGCCACACUGGGACUGAGACACGGCCCAGACUCCUACGGGAGGCAGCAGUGGGGAAUUUUGGACAAUGGGGGCAACCCUGAUCCAGCCAUGCCGCGUGAGUGAAGAAGGCCUUCGGGUUGUAAAGCUCUUUCAGCCGGAACGAAACGGUUACGGUUAAUACCCGUYACUAAUGACGGUACCGGAAGAAGAAGCACCGGCUAACUACGUGCCAGCAGCCGCGGUAAUACGUAGGGUGCGAGCGRUAAUCGGAAUUACUGGGCGUAAAGCGUGCGCAGGUGGUUUUGUAAGUCAGAUGUGAAAGCCCCGGGCUCAACCUGGGAACU